rnacentral:lncRNA from 1 species
CAACGAGCCUCAAGGUGGCCACCAAACCGCAGCCCCUGGCCCUUCCCAGGAGUAUCUGGCGGACUUACCGAAGAGCAGCGGCUUGAGGCUGAGGGUUCGGAUGAAGUGAUCCCUGUCGGUGACCAGCUGGACCUUACGCUCGUGCCCCACCUAAGGAAAAGGCGCACAGCGGGCAGCUGGGGCGCCAGACCGCGCUGCCCAAGAA